rnacentral:rRNA from 1 species
ACGGAAGGCAGCAGUAAGGAAUCUUGCACAAUGGGGGAAACCCUGAUGCAGCAACGCCGCGUGAACGAUGAAGGCCUUCGGGUUGUAAAGUUCUGAUCUUGGGGAAGAAACAAAUGACGGUACCCAAGGAGAAAGCCCCGGCUAACUACGUGCCAGCAGCCGCGGUAAUACGUAGGGGGCAAGCGUUAUCCGGAAUUAUUGGGCGUAAAGAGUGCGUAGGUGGUUACCUAAGCGCAAGGUUUAAUCUUGGGGCUCAACCCCAUUUUGCCUUGCGAACUGGGCUACUUGAGUGCAGGAGGGGAAAGCGGAAUUCCUAGUGUAGCGGUGAAAUGCGUAGAUAUUAGGAAGAACACCGGUGGCGAAGGCGGCUUUCUGGACUGUAACUGACACUGAGGCACGAAAGCGUGGGGAGCAAACAGGAUUAGAUACCCUGGUA